UACGUAGGGCGCGAGCGUUGUCCGGAAUUAUUGGGCGUAAAGAGCUCGUAGGCGGCUUGUCACGUCGGGUGUGAAAGACCGGGGCUUAACUCCGGUUCUGCAUUCGAUACGGGCUAGCUAGAGUGUGGUAGGGGAGAUCGGAAUUCCUGGUGUAGCGGUGAAAUGCGCAGAUAUCGGGAGGAACACCGGUGGCGAAGGCGGGUCUCUGGGCCGAAACUGACGCUGAGGAGCGAAAGCGUGGGGAGCAAACAGG
rnacentral:rRNA from 1 species